GUGACGGGAGGCUUGGGGGGCUAGCCGUCCCCUUUAACCCGAAAGCGGCUAAACGCGGGGGGCCGUUAACCGUUGGGUAAAGGGUGUGUAUAUGUAAGGGCAUCCCAGAUGGGGGUGAUGACCCCUCCACCACGGGGAGGUGUGUUCCUCCGGUUAUAGGCUGGAGGGUCUAUGGCCGGAGGUAGACGGUGAAUCGGGUUAGGCCCGGGAGGGAGCAGCCCUAAGCCGUCGCAUACCUGCUCCGUGGGGUAAGUGGGGGUGAACAAUAUCCGUCUGGAAUGCCCUUACAUAUGCCACCUUGAACCAGCGGGAUGCCGUCAC
rnacentral:SRP_RNA from 1 species